AGGGGAUCGCCAGAUCCUGGGCUUUGUUACCCGGGGCCCUGGGCUCCCGGGCCUGCGCCGCUGGAAUCGCUCUCCCCUCCUGCGGGCCACGCAUUCCCCU
rnacentral:pre_miRNA from 1 species